CAAUAGGUAUCUUAUAGCAACGGUUUCGUGAACUGUUGCCAUAAAGGCAAUGAGUUUUUCGAAAAAAAUGCUAUGAUUUUUAUUUUCCCCCUUUUUUCACAAAAUUCGCCAAGAUUUUAAAAAUAUACAAUAAAAACUUAAAAAAAAUACAAAAACGUUUCACUCUCAAGUCACUCUCAUCAGUCAACAAACACCAGUGCUGCCGACUGCCCACCGCUGCUCCGAUUGCUCACUGCUGCUUCGAUUGCCGCUCCGACUGCUGCUCCGACCGCCGCACCGACUACUACUCCAAUUUACAAUAGCCGACAGAUCUAGUAGCUAAAUUCUCAUAUUUCAUGAGAAGAACUAGCAUUUCCUUUCCGAAGCCCACAAAAGCUACUCCGUGAAGCUCGGCCCUUCGUAAUUGUAGAAGAGUAUUUCCAUUCCGUAUACGCUUUGAGGAACUUCGAGACUAAUUGUUUUAACUAUGUUAAUUCUCCAAAAGGAACCCCCUGCUCCUCACAUGCUUCUUUAGAAAGAGCACUGGGUCACCCCUUUACCCUUUAAAUUUUGCUUCAAAAUCUACUGGGUAUUGGAGUUGCUUGUGUGUUAUCUUCUCUUGCCACCACUCUCGCCGGUAUCUUUCCAGAGACUGUCCUGGUGUACUAAAUAUUGCGUGUAACAUUGGCAAAGUAUUAGUUGUGUUUCAUACUUGUAUUAGAUGUGAAAAUUGUAUGUUGGAGUGCUCUAGAAAUCGUUCAAAUUUUUAUAAGCUUGUAACAGAGUUCCCUACCAAAAUGUCAGAGGGUGAUUAUCUUUCUCUAUUGAGCCUCUUACUGCACCAUUACUAGCCUCAAUUAUGCUUUGUCAUAGGCUUAUUUGUGAAGCUUAAAUAUUCUUUUAUGCUACUGGGAGCCUGGACUAAUUGCAGCAUCGAUAUAACAGGAUGUAGACCAUCAGGGAAUUAGGAGUAUAGAGAUCCUUUUAUUUCUGAAAUGCAGCUAUCUCUAAUAGAUUGGAUAAAAGUGCAUCAUGUUCUUGAUUCUGUAUGUAAAGUAAUUUGAAUACUGGAAACUAAAUUAUUCCUUUCUCUUUUUGA